rnacentral:tRNA from 2 species
GGGCGAGUAGCUCAGCGGCAGAGCGCCUGCCUUACAAGCAGGAUGUCACAGGUUCGAUCCCUGUCUCGCCCA